rnacentral:rRNA from 1 species
UACGGAGGGGGCUAGCGUUGUUCGGAAUUACUGGGCGUAAAGCGCGCGUAGGCGGACCUGCAAGUCGGGGGUGAAAGCCCGAGGCUCAACCUCGGAACUGCCUUCGAUACUGCGGGUCUCGAGUCCGGGAGAGGUGAGUGGAAUUCCUAGUGUAGAGGUGAAAUCCGUAGAUAUUAGGAAGAACACCAGUGGCGAAGGCGGCUCACUGGCCCGGUACUGACGCUGAGGUGCGAAAGCGUGGGGAGCAAACAGG